rnacentral:rRNA from 1 species
AUGUAUCGUGCACUCUCGCAUUCUGAGGUACCGGUGAGAAAUAACAAAAUAAUUUGGAAAGCGAAGGUACCACUUAAAGUCAAAAUAUUCAUGUGGUAUCUCCGUAGGGGAGUUGUGCUAACAAAAGACAACCUCGCAAGACGCAACUGGUCGGGAAGUAAGAAGUGUUGUUUUUGUACUCACGACGAGACAAUUAAACACCUCUUUUUUCACUGUAAGUUUGCGCGUUCUACGUGGUCAGCCAUCCAAAUAGCGUCAAAUUUGUAUCCACCCACAAGUGUUGCCAAUAUUUUUGGUCAUUGGCUGGACGGUAUUUCAAAUAGGUACAAAACGCUAAUAAGGGUGGGAGCGUAUGCCUUACUAUGGUCGCUUUGGCUAUGUAGAAAUGAUGUUGUUUUUAAUGACAAAACUGUUUUGCCUUUGCAGGUUAUUUUCCGUUGUACGCACUCGCUUCGUACGUGGUGUACGCUACAACGAGCGGAGUACCAACCGCUGUUCAAGGCGGUGUGUACGCUGUUGGAGCAGGUGGCUACGGAGGUUUUUACCCAACAUGGAUGGCAGCAUAAUCUCCGGCUCGGUCCACCAUCUCUUUCGACAUAG